GACGAACGCUGGCGGCGUGCUUAACACAUGCAAGUCGAGCGGUAAGGCCCUUUCGGGGGUACGACGAGCGGCGAACGGGUGAGUAACACGUGGGUGACCUGCCCUCAGCUCUGGGAUAAGCCUGGGAAACUGGGUCUAAUACCGGAUAUGACUCCCAUGACGCAUGUUGUGGGGUGGAAAGCCUUGUGCGGCUGAGGAUGGGCCCGCGGCCUAUCAGCUUGUUGGUGGGGUGAUGGCCUACCAAGGCGACGACGGGUAGCCGGCCUGAGAGGGCGACCGGCCGACACUGGGACUGAGACACGGCCCAGACUCCUACGGGAGGCAG
rnacentral:rRNA from 1 species